AUGGUCCUUAGGGCGCUCGGCGCCGGGGCACACGAGUGAUGGAUGAGCGCCCCGGAGGGCCAACUCGGGGGCACUUGCAAGUGCGCCUUGGGCACACCGGGCCUCCGUCUCUCAGAAGAUGAGGGCGGGGCCACGCGUGGUCAGAACAUCUCGGUGGCAGAUUGCUCCCGGAACUGAGUCGCGCAGCAAACCCCGCGGCUGUCAGUGAGGCGUCUUCUCCCAGGUGCAGGGACAGGGGUGCGCAUGGGGGAGGGGGAGGGGCCCAGGGUCCCCUGCCCCGGGAACUCCCGCCCGGAAGGCACCGACAGUUCUUAGAAUCAGUCCAUAGACCAGGCUUCGGAAUCCUAGUCCGACUCGGCAGUUUACUAACGCUAACUUAUCCAGGCGGCAAAGAUGCUCUGUAUCUCCAUCUAUUCAGGGCUUUGGAAUUUUCUCUCGGCAAUAUUUGGUACCUAGGAUAACACUGAGGCCUGUGGGCUAGAUUCCACACAUGGCCUGUGUUUGUAAGACCCCAGAGCUAAGAACCGUGCUGGCAACUUUAGUUGUAACACCCCUGCACGCGCGCGCGCGCGCGCGCGCGCACACACACACACACACACACACAGAGAGAGAGAGAGAGAGAGAGAGAGAGAGAGAGAGAGAGAGAGACAAAUAUGUGAUAGAGAUCUGUCAUCCACAAAGCUAUAAUAUAUAUGUAUUAUCGGGCUUUUUUCGAGAAAGUUUGAAGCCACUGCUCUAUGGUUUUGGGACUGUAGGUCUUCCACGGCUUUUGCCAAUUUGUUUAGAGCAACAGCUGUCAGCACGGCACCGUCAGGCUUUUCUUUCCAAUGAAAACGCACCGCCGACCACACAGCUGUCUGUGAAUGGCCCCGCGGGUACAAGGACAGGCGAUAUACACGGCAGGUCAAUUCUUCCUCCCUCGUUGAGUUAAAGCCGCCAAAUACGUAAGCGGGGGACAAAUGGACAAGAACGGCGUGUGUGUAAGGAUAUUAUAUCUGGGAAAGAAGGUAAGGACCGUUGAAGCCAAUGGGUAAGAGGAGAGGGACAGCUGUAGGCAGCAGUGGGUGUCCUGCCAGUUUUGAGACUAGAGGAAAACUGGCCUAGAGCUGGAUUCUUCCAAGCCAACAGUCAAAACCAGAGUGUUGCACGCUUGAUAUUCAUAGAUCUCUCCCUUCUCUCCACAGUGGACCUUUCAAGGCAGUGUGUUGACCUCUGGCCAGUCUCAGCGGAAUCCACAAUCUUCGAUACCUACACAAACACUGAGCUGGUGGGGCUCCUGCUUGCUCUAGGGAAAUGAAACACAGGUUAAGAUUGUUUGAUAUAACUAGUUGGGCCUGAGACCGUUCCCAGCACAGAAAAUCCAUUAGGCGGGGACAGUGGUUGCCUGCCAUUUGGAGAGGAGGAUUUUGCUUCCUGGUUGCCGAGAUCCUAUUCUUGCCUGAGAAGACAAUGAUUGGGUUGCUGCCCCCACGCUUGUGUCCCCAAGGAAUCCCUGGGCAGGUGACAAGGAUACCCCAAAGCAAGGCUGCUCCUGGCCGGACCCACUGAAGAGGCACAUAUGACCUGCUCAAAAGUUCGUAAAAAAGUGCCCGAAGC